rnacentral:lncRNA from 1 species
GGUUCAUGUAAGUAAGUCAUACAAAGAUUGGUUUCGCUUGCAGCCAAUCAAAUUGAAUCAGUAUAAGUGCAUUAUAUAAAUUGUAAGAAAAUAAAGCAAAAGAUUCGACAUAAAGGUAUUGGCAGUAGGUCAUCGUCUAUUACGGUAAUACCUAGGUUUUCUGAAAAAAAUAAUCUUAUACCAGAAUUUAGCAUUACAAGUUUAGCGUCCUCAAACAAUAAAAAAAAAAACCUGGCUGCUUCAAUAUGGACAAUAGCGAUCUAUCAAUGAUUCGAUAUCAAAUUUAGAUAUAUUCUCCAACUUUCCCGUAUUGACAGUUGUUCCAGAGGAACAAAAUGUUUUCCUAUGUGACGUAUAAAUUUUCUAAUGUCAGUCAUGCGAAGCAAUGAUUGUGUUUUUGAUUUGAUAGAUUCGUUUGUGUUCUUCUGUUAAAUUGGUUUUUUUUUUUAAUUGUAACAAGGUGAUGAAUGUUGUACCUAUAUUAAUACUAUUUUAUUUAGUAUGUCUGUUUAGUUCACGCAUCGUUGUAAAUAUAACGGAAUUUGAUGAGACUGUCGUACAAAGUGAGAGUUUUAGCCCUACAAAACCAGGUUUAAUCCACCAUUUUCUACCAUUUGAAAAUGUCUGUACCAGGUCAGGAAUAUGACAGUUGUUGUCCAUUCGUAUUUGAUGUGUUUUGUCAUUUGAUUUGCCAUGUGAUUAGGCAUUUUCCGAUUUGAUUUUCCUCUGAGUUCAUUUUUUUGUGAUUUUACUUUUUGUGAAUUGUGAACAAUAUAUAGAGAUUUUGCCGUACGUUUUUAUAUUGCAUUUAUUGGUUGAAAUAACAAAUGUUUUUAUGAUAGAUGAGAAAACAUAAUAACUUAGUCUAAGGAUUUAAAAAUUGCAUU